AAGACUGCGGAUCCAGCAGCAGCCACUUUUCAUUACCAGCUCUAACAGCUGUUUCUCGAAUAUAUCCUCUCAGCUCAUCCUGUUUCUCUCCCUUAACAAAUGUGUUUCAAAUGCGGCUGGUCGAAACACGAAAAAUUACCUUCUCUCUGUAAUUAACUGUAGAAAAUGAUCCUCGAUCUCAUCCCAGCGGAUUUGUUACUUUGAGAAACUUUGAUCACAAGACCGAGGGACGAAGAAUUUACAGAGCUAGGUCUAAUUAAAAAAGGGAGAGACACGCAGGAAUUCGUUAGCUAAGGAUGAUCGGUGAUCGAGCAGCGAGACUACGAAGGAAGAACGUUUUUCACUGGCAACUUCGAUAAAUCAAGGAGAGCAGCGAACGAGAGAGCGAGCAAAGAACGAAUCACAUGAAUGGAGCCGCUGGCGGACACACGGGGUGGAAAACGAGGAUGUGCACUCGCUUGAGAACGAGUUCGUGGCUGACUAGCGCAAGACCAAACUCCUUGAUGCCACGCUACUAGCCAGAGAUCUAAAAUCCAAUGAAACUGGAAGACAAAGAAACCCGUUGGCGAUAUUUCACCAUCGGCGGCGUUCACAUUUCUUAUUCGUAUCUCGAUGAAGAACCAUUAUUGUGCUCCGUAGAAGCCCGGCCUUAUCGUAAUGAAAUAAUCAACGCGAACAAUGGCUUUUUAGUCUUCCAACGACAUCGACAGUCCCCCCGACCGAUAAAGAUAAGCAAUAAUUCCGAAUUACGCAGCGAGUGGCAAAAUUAAAUUACCAGAUCGUCGAAAUGUCGGAAUUUUCGAAAGCAUGUAUUUAGACUUUUGACUUUUCACGUGGUUCAUCAAUCAUCCGAAAUAGCGAGUGGAGAGUCUCGUCGGGACAAAGCGAGAGAGAGAGAGAGAGAGAAAGAAAGAGAGGAAAAAAAAAACAAACACGUAAAGCGUGAACUUUCAGCAAAGGACUUUUAGGGGGGUAAAUGUCAAUUUUAGGGCAAAGUGGUUGUGCCUACAUUCGCGUGUAUGAUCGAAGACAGAGGUGGAACCCCCCCUCUCUCUCCCUUGUUAGCCACCCACGGCAUUCCAGUAAUCGGGCUAUCGUUCCCUCUUCUUCGCUCUGGCUCUCCCCCCUCGGAUCUUUCAAGGCCCCUUCCCCUCCGCCUAACCCCCGUGUCACCGGCAGUGCGGCUGCUGAAUGGCCGAAGGUGGGGGUAAACUCAUCUCUCCUCUGACCACCCACGCAAUCAAUAGCAGCCUUGCCGCCUUCUACUGAAUGGACUCUGCCCUCCACGGCCUCUGCCGUUCUUCGUCUGCUUCGACGGUGCCGGCUUCUAUCCCUUCUCACCCUCACUCUAUCGAUUACUACGCCCUUGCCGUGCGAUCUCGCGGGGGGCCGCUCUAUCGACCCAUCCACCUGUAUUACAGUUCAUUCAUAAAUCUUUGGCUGCUCUCCCCUCCGGGGGAUUGCUGUCUGUUCUUCCUCUCUGUCGAACAAAUGUUUAUUUUGUUACACACUUCAUUAUAUUUUUAUUGUAUACUUUGUACAAAACAAUUUUUAUCUUAUUGUAUACUUUGCCGAACAACUUUUAUGCUCUCACCUCCUUUGUAAACGGUGGAAUUGAUGAACAAAAUGAAAGAAAAGGAAACAACACGUGCCUGAGAGUCUACGACCAAUACGAAUGAUUUCUUUGACAUUUUGCUUUGACAUUUCGUUUAGUUUGAUUUUUGAUGUUUGAGGAAAGAACCGUGCGUUUGACGGUGGCUAUUAUUUUCUAACUGUUUGAUGAGAAGAAACGUGGCAUGGUAUAUUUCAAUGUGGUGCUCUUUGAUCGCUUUGACAAUGAAACUUUUGGGAUAUUUCAAUGGAGGAAAAUUUUUCUCUUGGAGAAAAAGAAAAAAGAAGAAACAGAAGAACAAGACGAAAGAAAAGCCAACGAACGGAUUCUUAAAUAGUUAAUAAAUUCAUUUAUUACACCGUUAUUAAAUACUGUACAUUACUUCAUCAAUUUUAAAUGCGCGAAUACAUGUAAUUGCCAGUAAGCACUACGUGUCUACAAUUGAUCGCCGGGUUAAUGAUAAAAUCGUGGAAUCAUUUGGAUCAUUUAGGUAAUUCAUCUAAUUAAACUCACAAUACCGCUUACAUAAAACUAACUUGUAUUAUCGGAUGCUGCAACAAUCAUUAUAAAACAUGUACGUGAUACACACAAUGUGUGAAUGUAACUACAUUCUUACCCUAAGUUUAUCUGUUUUGUGGUUGAAGUUCAGGACGUAAACUUAGCAAGAAAACGCUCUAUAAACGUAGAAAUAUUCGGAAAACAUCGAAAUCACUUUGUAUC